rnacentral:rRNA from 1 species
AGAGUUUGAUCAUGGCUCAGAAUGAACGUUGGCGGCGUGGAUUAGGCAUGCAAGUCGAGCGAGAACCCAGCAAUGGGGGACAGCGGCGAAAGGGACAGUAAUGUGUAGAUUAUCUGCCCUCGGGUCCGGGAUAGCUGCGGGAAACUGCAGGUAAUACCGGAUAACAUCUCCGGAUCAAAGGUGUGAUUCCGCCCGAGGAUGAGUCUGCAUCCUAUUAGCUUGUUGGUGGGGUAAUGGCCUACCAAGGCUUUGAUGGGUAGCGGGUGUGAGAGCACGACCCGCGUCAUUGGGACUGAGACACUGCCCCAGACACCUACGGGUGGCUGCAGUCGAGAAUCUUCGGCAAUGGGCGCAAGCCUGACCGAGCGACGCCGCGUGUGGGAUGAAGGCCUUCGGGUUGUAAACCACUGUCAGAGGGGAUGAAAUGCAGGUGGGUUCUCCCACUUGUUUGACAUAGCCUCAGAGGAAGGACGGGCUAAGUUCGUG